rnacentral:rRNA from 1 species
UACGUAGGGUGCGAGCGUUGUCCGGAUUUAUUGGGCGUAAAGAGCUUGUAGGCGGCUCGUCGCGUCGGGUGUGAAAACUUGCGGCUUAACCGCAAGCCUGCACCCGAUACGGGCGGGCUAGAGUUCGGCAGGGGAGACUGGAAUUCCUGGUGUAGCGGUGGAAUGCGCAGAUAUUAGGAGGAACACCGGUGGCGAAGGCGGGUCUCUGGGCCGAUACUGACGCUGAGAAGCGAAAGCGUGGGGAGCGAACAGG